AUUGAACGCUGGCGGCAUGCCUUACACAUGCAAGUCGAACGGCAGCGCGGGAGCAAUCCUGGCGGCGAGUGGCGAACGGGUGAGUAAUAUAUCGGAACGUGCCCAGUAGUGGGGGAUAGCCCGGCGAAAGCCGGAUUAAUACCGCAUGAGACCUGAGGGUGAAAGCGGGGGAUCGCAAGACCUCGCGCUAUUGGAGCGGCCGAUAUCAGAUUAGCUAGUUGGUGGGGUAAAGGCCUACCAAGGCAACGAUCUGUAGUUGGUCUGAGAGGACGAUCAGCCACACUGGAACUGAGACACGGUCCAGACUCCUACGGGAGGCAGCAGUAGGGAAUAUUGGACAAUGGGGGCAACCCUGAUCCAGCCAUGCCGCGUGAGUGAAGAAGGCCCUCGGGUUGUAAAGCUCUUUUGUCCGGAAAGAAAAGCAAUCGGUUAAUACCCGGUUGUCCUGACGGUACCGGAAGAAUAAGCACCGGCUAACUUCGUGCCAGCAGCCGCGGU
rnacentral:rRNA from 1 species